rnacentral:lncRNA from 1 species
UUCCGCUCUGACUCCCUGUGUCAGGACAGAAGACAGCAUCCGUGUACAACAAGGAAAAAGGCUCUUGCCAAAGCCAUCAUGCGCCCUGGUCUCAUACUCCUAACCCCCCAAGCAGGAGCUCCAUGCCUUAAGGCACCCGCGGCACUCACAGCGCAAGGAGACAACAGUGUCAUUUAGAAAGGCCAAUGUUACUAGUACCAUGGCCGCGUCAGCACAACGUAGACACAGGAAGUAGCUGCUCACGUGGACCUCUCCUGGAUGCUGCUCAUGCAGUUCUGCUUCCAUCAGACACGGUCUCAUCUGACAGAGGCUGGCCUCGAACUCCUCACGCUCCUGCCACAGCCUUCCUACUGCAAAC